CGAACGCUGGCGGCGUGCUUAACACAUGCAAGUCGAACGGAAAGGCCCUGCUUGCAGGGUACUCGAGUGGCGAACGGGUGAGUAACACGUGGGUGAUCUGCCCUGCACUUCGGGAUAAGCCUGGGAAACUGGGUCUAAUACCGGAUAGGAGCCAUUUUUAGUGUGAUGGUUGGAAAGUUUUUUCGGUGUAGGAUGAGCUCGCGGCCUAUCAGCUUGUUGGUGGGGUAAUGGCCUACCAAGGCGGCGACGGGUAGCCGGCCUGAGAGGGUGGACGGCCACAUUGGGACUGAGAUACGGCCCAGACUCCUACGGGAGGCAGCAGGGGGGAAUAUUGCACAAUGGGCGCAAGCCUGAUGCAGCGACGCCGCGUGGGGGAUGACGGCCUUCGGGUUGUAAACUCCUUUCGCUAGGGACGAAGCUUUUUGUGACGGUACCUAGAUAAGAAGCACCGGCUAACUACGUG
rnacentral:rRNA from 1 species